rnacentral:rRNA from 1 species
AACAGAUGGGGAGCUUGCUCCCUGAUGUUAGCGGCGGACGGGUGAGUAACACGUGGGUAACCUGCCUGUAAGACUGGGAUAACUCCGGGAAACCGGGGCUAAUACCGGAUGCUUGAUUGAACCGCAUGGUUCAAUUAUAAAAGGUGGCUUUUAGCUACCACUUACAGAUGGACCCGCGGCGCAUUAGCUAGUUGGUGAGGUAACGGCUCACCAAGGCAACGAUGCGUAGCCGACCUGAGAGGGUGAUCGGCCACACUGGGACUGAGACACGGCCCAGACUCCUACGGGAGGCAGCAGUAGGGAAUCUUCCGCAAUGGACGAAAGUCUGACGGAGCAACGCCGCGUGAGUGAUGAAGGUUUUCGGAUCGUAAAACUCUGUUGUUAGGGAAGAACAAGUACCGUUCGAAUAGGGCGGUACCUUGACGGUACCUAACCAGAAAGCCACGGCUAACUACGUGCCAGCAGCCGCGGUAAUACGUAGGUGGCAAGCGUUGUCCGGAAUUAUUGGGCGUAAAGCGCGCGCAGGCGGUUUCUUAAGUCUGAUGUGAAAGCCCCCGGCUCAACCGGGGAGGGUCAUUGGAAACUGGGGAACUUGAGUGCAGAAGAGGAGAGUGGAAUUCCACGUGUAGCGGUGAAAUGCGUAGAGAUGUGGAGGAACACCAGUGGCGAAGGCGACUCUCUGGUCUGUAACUGACGCUGAGGCGCGAAAGCGUGGGGAGCGAACAGGAUUAGAUACU